AUUGAACGCUGGCGGCAGGCCUAACACAUGCAAGUCGAGCGGAUGAAGGGAGCUUGCUUCUGGAACGAGCGGCGGACGGGUGAGUAAUGGCUAGGAAUCUGCCUGGAAGUGGGGGAUAACGUCCGGAAAAGGGCGCUAAUACAGCAUACGUACUGAGGGAGAAAGUGGGGGAUCGUCGGACCCCACGCUAUCAGAUGAGCAUAGGUUGGAUUAGCAAGUCGGUGGGGUAAAGAUCUACCAAGGCGAGGAUCCGUAACUUGUCAGAGAGGAGGAGCAUCCCUACUGGAACUGGAUGACGGUCCAGACUGCUACUGGGGGCAGGAGUGGGGAAUAUUGGACGAUGGGCGAGAGCCUGAUCCAGCCAUGCCGCGUGGGUGAAGAAGGUCUUCGGAUUGUAAAGCACUUUAAGUUGGGAGGAAGAGCAGUAAGUUAAUACCUUGCUGUUUUGACGUUACCAACAGAAUAAGCACCGGCUAACUUCGUG
rnacentral:rRNA from 1 species